rnacentral:rRNA from 1 species
GACGAACGCCGGCGGCGUGCCUAAUACAUGCAAGUCGAGCGGGUCUGUCUUGGUAGUUUACUAUUGAGGCAGGCCAGCGGCGGACGGGUGAGUAACGCGUGGGCAACCUGCCCUGUAGUCUGGGAUAACAGGUCGAAAGGCCUGCUAAUACCGGAUGAGCUUAGCAUCUCGCAUGGGGUGGUAAGGGAAGGGGGAACCCGCUACAGGAUGGGCCCGCGUCCCAUUAGCUAGUUGGUGAGGUAACGGCUCACCAAGGCGACGAUGGGUAGCCGGCCUGAGAGGGCGACCGGCCACACUGGAACUGAGACACGGUCCAGACUCCUACGGGGGGCAGCAGUAGGGAAUAUUCGGCAAUGGGCGAAAGCCUGACCGAGCGACGCCGCGUGAGGGACGAAGGUCUUCGGAUUGUAAACCUCUGUCUAGGGGGACGAGGAAGGACGGUACCCCUGGAGGAAGCCCCGGCUAACUACGUGCCAGCAGCCGCGGUAAUACGUAGGGGGCGAGCGUUGUCCGGAAUUACUGGGCGUAAAGGGCGCGCAGGCGGCUGUGUAAGUCAGGUGUAAAAGGCCGAGGCUCAACUUCGGUUAGACGUCUGAUACUGCAUGGCUUGAGGGCAAGAGAGGGAAGCGGAAUUCCCGGUGUAGCGGUGAAAUGCGUAGAUAUCGGGAGGAACACCAGUGGCGAAGGCGGCUUCCUGGAUUGUACCUGACGCUCAUGCGCGAAAGCUGGGGGAGCGAACG